rnacentral:rRNA from 1 species
AGCGAACGCUGGCGGCAGGCCUAACACAUGCAAGUCGAACGAACCUUUCGGGGUUAGUGGCGGACGGGUGAGUAACACGUGGGAACGUGCCUUUAGGUUCGGAAUAACUCAGGGAAACUUGUGCUAAUACCGAAGGUGCCCUUCGGGGGAAAGAUUUAUCGCCUUUAGAGCGGCCCGCGUCUGAUUAGCUAGUUGGUUGAGGUAAUGGCUCACCAAGGCGACGAUCAGUAGCUGGUCUGAGAGGAUGAUCAGCCACAUUGGGACUGAGACACGGCCCAAACUCCUACGGGAGGCAGCAGUGGGGAAUCUUGCGCAAUGGGCGAAAGCCUGACGCAGCCAUGCCGCGUGAAUGAUGAAGGUCUUAGGAUUGUAAAAUUCUUUCACCGGGGACGAUAAUGACGGUACCCGGAGAAGAAGCCCCGGCUAACUUCGUG